CAAUAGCGUAUAUUUAAGUUGUUGCAGUUAAAAAGCUCGUAGUUGGAUUUCGGGUGGGACGCGGCGGUCUCGCAUUGCGUUUGUACUGCUGCAGCCCUCCUUCUUGCCGGGGGCGGCCUCUCGGACUUCACUGUCUGGGGGUCAGAAUCGGCGAUGUUACUUUGAGUAAAUUAGAGUGUUCAAAGCAAGCUUACGCUCUGAAUAUAAUAGCAUGGGAUAACACGACAGGACUCUGGCCUAUCGUGUUGGUCUAUAGGACCAGAGUAAUGAUUAAGAGGGACAGUCGGGGGCAUUCGUAUUCCGUUGUCAGAGGUGAAAUUCUUGGAUUUACGGAAGACGAACAUCUGCGAAAGCAUUUGCCAAGGAUGUUUUCAUUGA
rnacentral:rRNA from 1 species